CCUUGCUGGUAAGAAUCCUGGGUCUGUUUUUAGUUUUAUCCUUUUAGAGAGCAUCAGCUCUGGGAGGUAGGAGGAGGGAAGGCAGUGACAGGAAGGUUAAUGUCAUCUGCCUGGCAGAGGGUAAAAACUAGAGUGAUGCUCACAGUUUCAUAUGGUAGUUUUCCAGGACUGAUUUCAUUUUUUAUUUCGUUUUGUUUUGUUUUGAGACAGUUUCUCUGUGUAGCCCUGGCUGUCCUGGAACUCACUCUGUAGACUAGGCUGGCCUCGAACUCACAGGGAUCUGUCUACCUCUGCCUCCCAAGUGUUGGGAUUAAAGGUGUGCGCCACCACUGCUCUGUUCUGUUCUAUGAUUCAUAGCAGUUUGCUGGCAGUAUAGAGCAAUGGCAAGAACCAUGCAGUGCGGUGGUCAGAGCACGAGAUCCCUCCUGCCGGAACUCACUCAAGCUCACUUCAUGCCAGGGAUUGUGAAAAUAACAUUUCUUGUGUUCUUGCAAGUCUUUGCAGGGGGUUCCUGGCAGCUCAUACUUGCCCCCAGGGAAUGCAAUGAACUGUGCCUGUAACCCAUCCUGUUGGGGACAUGCAGCCAAAUGGGACAUCACUCUUCCCCAUCCCCAUUGACCAACAGGAAAAUGCUAAGAUCUUGUCAACUUAGGCAGAAAGGACCGGGGGACAGUCACUCUAUUAUCCCAAAGGGAAGGUACCAUGUCCAGGAGGACAUAAUGCAGAAAGCACACUGGAUACAAGGUGAGCACACUGGAUACAACAUGAGCACACUGGAUACAAGUGAGCACACUGGAUACAAUGUGAGCACACUGGAUACAAGGUGAGCUCACUGGAUACAAUGUGAGCACACUGGAUACAAUGUGAGCACACUGGAUACAAGGUGAGCUCACUGGAUACAAUGUGAGCACACUGGAUACAAGGUGAGCACACUGGAUACAAGUGAGCACACUGGAUACAAUGUGAGCACACUGGAUACAAGGUGAGCACACUGGAUACAAGGUGAGCACACUGGAUACAAUGUGAACACACUGGAUACAACAUGAGCACACUGGAUACAAGGUGAGCACACUGGAUACAAUGUGAGCACACUAGAGGGUGGCUUAAGGAGAAGAUUCUUAGGACCAGGACAAAGAGAAGCUACAGGGCAGCUGAUGAACAAUGUCACAGUGGUUUAAUUUGUUGGAACCUGAGAAACCUGUUCUUCAGAGUUCCUGAGCUGUGGGCCUGGCUCUAUCACUGGUCCCAUCAAUGCAGCCACCAGUUAAGUUACUUGUUGGUAAAUAUCACUCAGUUCCAAAGGCACAGAGCAUCUCCACAUUCUUUAUUGUAAAGCCCCGGAUCCCCAGGAGAAAUUGACAUCAACAUUCUUCCAUGGUUAGCACAUUUUAAUAUAUUUUAUUAAGUUAUAAAACUUUGAAAACUGGUCACCCAAAACACCCCAGCAGUUGGUCCAGGUGCUGUGACAAACAACAUUUUCUCUGGGACAGUUAUCAACAAUAAGUAAACCCUUGGGGAAAGAAUUAAAAACCACGACAGGGGGUGUUUACACUUUUUUUGGAGAGGGUUUGUAUUAUUUUAUUUGCUAUGCAAAUUGUCAUUAAUUUUAUUUCAGCUUAGAGCUGGAGAAAUGUCCACUCAAGGUUAGUGUUAUACCCUGGCUGAGGUGGGAGGUAACCUGCAUAGUCACCCAGUGCCCCACACUCAGGCGGCUCACACUGGAUCCAUGUUCUGAUGAACAAGGGGCCUCAUGUGCUAUUUAGCACUGAGCUCUAAAAGGUAUGUAGUCAGUUCUGCUCACUAGAUAACAGAUAAUGCUCAGAAGCCAGGUAUGGUGGGGCAUAUUUUUAUUCCCAGUCUUCAGGAAAGAAAGGCAGAUCUCUGUAAAUUCAAAGAAAGCCUGACCUGCUUAGGGCUAUAUGAUGAAAUACUUUCUCAAACAGUAAGACAAACAUAAGAAAGAAACUAAGGAAGGAAGGAAACAGGAGGGGAGGGGAGGAGAGGAGAAGAGGAGAGACCAGAAGAGAAUAGAAAAGAAGAAAAGAAAAAGAAUGAAAAGAACAUUAGAACCAGGCUGGUGACACAUGCAUAUAAUCCCAGCACUCAAGAGACUGGGGCCAGAAGAUCACAAGUUCUGGGCCAGCCAAGGCUACAUAGCAAAACUGUGUCUCAACAAGUAAAAUAAAACAUGGUUUUAAAAAGAAAAUAAGAAAAGAGGGUGUCUUAGUCAGGGUUUCUAUUCCUGCACAAGCAUCAUGACCAAGAAGCAAGUUGGGGACAAAAGGGUUUAUUCGGCUUACACUUCCACAUUGCUCUUCAUCACAAUAAAUUCCUUUACUAUAUAGAGACUAUCUAUAAGUUCUGUGACUCUAGAGAACCCUGACUAAUACAGAGGGUCUGGAAAGAUGGCUCAGUGGUUAGCAGCAUAUAUCAUUCUUGCCUGUUUCCUCGCAAGCUCCCAACCACCUUAACUCCAGCUUCAGAGGAUCUGGCACCCUCUUCUGGGCUCCUCGGGUACCUCACUCAUGUGUACAUACAACAGACACACACACAACCAAAACAAUAAAAUAAAUAUGAAAGUUAAAAAAAAUCAAGAAAAUAAAAAGAGAAAUAUAAAUCAAUAUUUACAGGGAAAAUUGCUGUAUCAUGCUAAUAAUGUACACACUCAAAGUAUAACAAAGUAUAUCAAGUAAACAGCAGAAAAUAGGUAGUUUUGAAAGGAAAAAAAAUCACUUUAGUUAACUAUAGUUAAGUCGGUUUGGGAACAUUCUCACCAUGUGACACUGCUUAGUUAGAGGAAGUGAGAGAGAGAGAGAGAGAGAGAGAAAUCGAAGAGAGAAGAUUGGUCAAGAGCAUAGGAGAGAAUCAAAGAGUGAGAAGGAGGUGGGUAGUUAAGCUAAAGUUAGCACCAAGCCCAAAUGUCUUCUUUUAAUGGAAAAACAUUUUUUAAAAAGGUAGUUUCUAUGACUGCAUGGAUUUAUUGGCAGGACAUAUUAUGCACUCUCUUCAUUGUGUGGCUUCUAUUGAUUUUUCUUUUUUCUUUUUGAUUUAUUUAGCGUGUGUAUGCAUGAGUGCUUGUGUGUAUGUGUGUUCACAUGUGUGGGGGUGUGCAUAUGCACACACAUUUAGAGGUCAGAGGACAAUUUGCUGAAGUCAGUUCUCUUCUACUUCAUGGGUUCUAGGGAUUGAACUCAGGUCAUCAGACUCAGCAGUGACUUUAACACCGAGGCUCCAUUAUCUGGGUCUAAAUGUUUUCUGCUUUGGACUUGUUUUUCAUCAAACCAGAAACCUCAUCAUAGCUAUCCUUUGGGAGGCUGGACUCCAGAUGCCUCUGGCCAUUCUUUCCCUCAUGUGUACAAUACAAUCCUUCCCCUUAACCAUACCGUGGAGCAGUCCUGCUGCCAGUUUAUACGGUGUGUGAUAGAGCUGAGUCUUCCUACAUCUGAAGAUGUUAUCUCCAUCUGUUGAAUUGAACCUGAGGAGAUGCAAGGUCCCAGACAGCCAAAGUGAUGGUGUGGUGGCAUUGUUCAAUACAGGUUUACGGAUUAUCUAAAAGUUGAUAAUUGUCUCUGAAUAAUUGGUAUGAACUAGAUCCAUCCAGUCACUCAUUGACCAAGAACCAUCUGCUCACCUUGGAAGAAGGAACUAAGCAAAUGGCCUGAAAUGAAAGCUACACAGCCCUAAGCAUGAGGCUUGGGCCCUGAACUCUGUAGGUCUACUGGCUCACUCAUGGGUAGUCUGUUAUCUGUACUUGAAAAAUUUUCUAAACAAAAUAGAGGUUUUGCAUAUUUAUCUUUUAAACAUUCAGUGACUUGUCUUCUCAAGGUACACUCUAAUUCUGUACUUUUAUAAGUAACCGUAAGUUUAGGGAUAAUUUCUGAAUUUUUCAUUUUCCCCUAGGUGCACAGCAACUUUUUAAGAAUCCUGGUAAAUGUUAUUAAAUACACUUUAAGAAGUAUCUAUCAAUUGCCUAAUCAGCUAAUCAAUCUAAUCAAUUGCUUAAUCAACAAGAUAAAAGCCAAAUAGGAUCACUUAUUUUAAAUUAUUUUAAAAACUUGAGUUGGCAUUGUAUGCUUGCUAUAAUUUGAUUUUCUUUUGAUUUAGUUUAACUUGAAUUUCUUUGGUUUGGUAAGACUGUGUACUUGUUUAUAUAACCUUGUUUAUACAUCACAACGUUUGCUCAACUUUCUAUGGGGUCUAGCCAUUUAAUUCCUGAUUUGGAAAAUCUCUUUUACAUUAUAUUAUAGGGCAUCAAUGAAGAUCUAUCUCUGUGAACUAACCUGUUUCUCACUAUCAUUAAAGGUCUAUUUCUGCGACUUAUUACUUCUUAGAUGUAGUGAACUCUUGUUUAUAAAAGAACAAAAUGGGGAAGUCUGAGAUUUACAGUGGCCUAUCUGAUUUUCAAGGCUGUCUGUCAAAGUUCUAGUCUUUCAACCUCCAGUUGGUUUUUGUAAGAUGGGAUUUGAAUUUUUGUCUUUGGACAGUUUGAGGCUGGACUAGAACACCUUUCACAAGCCAACUCACCCUAAAAGCCUACAUUACAUUGUUAGUUAAGUAACAUUAUGCCACAUGUGAAAUUCUUUUCAUAAACAAUAAACAUAAGUUAUCUUCCUUGUU